UGAUAAUUAGUUUAAAUCAAAAUAAGUGAUUUCGACUCACUAGAUUAUGCACUUGCAUAAUUAUCAA
rnacentral:tRNA from 1 species